CAACAUUUAAUGAGACUAGGGCUAAUGCUUCUUUUAGCAUACCAGUCAUAAUUGAGUGUACUGGUGAAUCUCCUGAGAAUGCUACAGUUACUAUACAGUGUAAUGGAACUGGCAUUGUAUUUACUAGUACUGAAUUGGUAGAAUAUUCACAGCCUAGAAAUAUAACAGGAUCAGUUUUAGUGCCACUAUAUGAAGAGUGUAAUAUCAGUAUUGUAUUUAGUAAUCGUGUUGGUAGUAGUGAA